rnacentral:rRNA from 1 species
AUUGAACGCUGGCGGAAUGCUUUACACAUGCAAGUCGAACGGCAGCACGGACUUCGGUCUGGUGGCGAGUGGCGAACGGGUGAGUAAUGUAUCGGAACGUGCCCAGUCGUGGGGGAUAACGUAGUGAAAAUUACGCUAAUACCGCAUACGAUCUAUGGAUGAAAGCGGGGGAUCGCAAGACCUCGCGCGAUUGGACCGGCCGAUAGCAGAUUAGGUAGUUGGUGGGGUAAAGGCCCACCAAGCCAACGAUCUGUAGCUGGUCUGAGAGGACGACCAGCCACACUGGAACUGAGACACGGUACAGACUCCUACGGGAGGCAGCAGUGGGGAAUUUUGGACAAUGGGCGAAAGCCUGAUCCAGCCAUUCCGCGUGCAGGAUGAAGGCCCUCGGGUUGUAAACUGCUUUUGUACAGAACGAAAAGGUUUCUACUAAUACUAGGAGCUCAUGACGGUACUGUAAGAAUAAGCACCGGCUAACUACGUGCCAGCCGCCGCGGUAA